rnacentral:tRNA from 1 species
GGGCCCGUAGCUCAGUGGUAGAGCAGACGCCUCUUAAGCGCCUGGUCGAAGGUUCGAAUCCUUCCGGGCUCA